UACGUAGGGUGCAAGCGUUAAUCGGAAUUACUGGGCGUAAAGCGUGCGCAGGCGGCUUUGCAAGGCAGAUGUGAAAUCCCCGGGCUUAACCUGGGAACUGCAUUUGUGACUGCAUGGCUGGAGUGCGGCAGAGGGGGAUGGAAUUCCGCGUGUAGCAGUGAAAUGCGUAGAUAUGCGGAGGAACACCGAUGGCGAAGGCAAGCCCCUGGGCCUGCACUGACGCUCAUGCACGAAAGCGUGGGGAGCAAACAGG
rnacentral:rRNA from 1 species